rnacentral:rRNA from 1 species
UGUGGCGAGUGGCGAACGGGUGAGUAAUGUAUCGGAACGUACCUUUCAGUGGGGGAUAACGUAGCGAAAGUUACGCUAAUACCGCAUAUUCUGUGAGCAGGAAAGCAGGGGAUCGCAAGACCUUGCGCUGAUUGAGCGGCCGAUAUCAGAUUAGCUAGUUGGUGAGGUAAAGGCUCACCAAGGCGACGAUCUGUAGCGGGUCUGAGAGGAUGAUCCGCCACACUGGAACUGAGACACGGUCCAGACUCCUACGGGAGGCAGCAGUGGGGAAUUUUGGACAAUGGGGGCAACCCUGAUCCAGCCAUGCCGCGUGAGUGAAGAAGGCCUUCGGGUUGUAAAGCUCUUUCGGCCGGGAAGAAAUCGCAUGGGUUAAUACCCUGUGCGGAUGACGGUACCGGCAUAAGAAGCACCGGCUAACUACGUGCCAGCAGCCGCGGUAAUACGUAGGGUGCGAGCGUUAAUCGGAAUUACUGGGCGUAAAGCGUGCGCAGGCGGUUUUUUAAGACAGGCGUGAAAUCCCCGGGCUCAACCUGGGAACUGCGCUUGUGACUGGAAGGCUAGAGUCGCAGAGGGGGGUGGAAUUCCACGUGUAGCAGUGAAAUGCGUAGAGAUGUGGAGGAACACCAAUGGCGAAGGCAGCCCCCUGGGCCAAUACUGACGCUCAUGCACGAAAGCGUGGGUAGCAAACAGGAUUAGAUACCCUGGUAGUCCACGCCCUAAACGAUGUCAACUAGGUGUUGGGUGGGUAAAACCAUUUAGUACCGGAGCUAACGCGUGAAGUUGACCGCCUGGGGAGUACGGCCGCAAGGUUAAAACUCAAAGGAAUUGACGGGGACCCGCACAAGCGGUGGAUGAUGUGGAUUAGUUCGAUGCAACGCGAAAGACCUUACCUACCCUUGACAUGUCCAGGAGCCUGAAGAGAUUUGGGUGUGCCCGAAAGGGAACUGGAACACAGGUGCUGCAUGGCUGUCGUCAGCUCGUGUCGUGAGAUGUUGGGUUAAGUCCCGCAACGAGCGCAACCCUUGUCGUUAAUUGCCAUCAUUCAGUUGGGCACUUUAACGAGACUGCCGGUGACAAACCGGAGGAAGGUGGGGAUGACGUCAAGUCCUCAUGGCCCUUAUGGGUAGGGCUUCACACGUCAUACAAUGGUCGGUACAAAGGGUUGCCAAGCCGCGAGGUGGAGCCAAUCCCAGAAAGCCGAUCGUAGUCCGGAUCGCAGGCUGCAACUCGCCUGCGUGAAGUCGGAAUCGCUAGUAAUCGUGGAUCAGCAUGUCACGGUGAAUACGUUCCCGGGUCUUGUACACACCGCCCGUCACACCAUGGGAGCGGGUUCCGCCAGAAGUAGGUAGCCUAACCGCAAGGAGGGCGCUUACCACGGCGGGGUUCGUGACUGGGGUGAAGUCGAAACAAGGUA